CCUGCAACCAAAACAUUAGAUUAGAUCAAGGAAGAGCUGGUUUUGAUUCAUGGAUUUCGGCGCAAUAAUUUUCGAGAAUUAGAAAAGAAAAAUACAAAUCAUGGCCCAUGAUCUAUAGAUUAAAAUGAUCAAAGCUGUUAAACGGAAUCCCUGUUGUAUAACAGCACGGAUAUUGGUUUCCGCAGUGCCCUUAAGCGAGGCAAGGCUUGGUGUCGGGUGUCCGAUGCCUGUGGAUUGACAGCAUAAGUGGAAAAAUAUGCGUGACCGUUAUGUGAAGCUCUGUCGCCGGCAUGGGACUGAGGAACUU